GGUCCCAUGGCACAAUUGGUUAGCGCGUCACACUAAUAAUGUGAAGGUUCUGAGUUCAAGCCUCAGUGGGACCA
rnacentral:tRNA from 2 species